CCUAGGUCAGCCCCUCAGACCUCCAACAGACCUAGGUCAGCCCCUCAGACCUCCAACAGACCUAGGUCAGCCCCUCAGACCUCCAACAGACCUAGGUCAGCCCCUCAGACCUC